UACGGAGGGUGCAAGCGUUAAUCGGAAUUACUGGGCGUAAAGCGUGCGUAGGCGGGUCGUUAAGUCUGUUGUGAAAGCCCCGGGCUCAACCUGGGAAUGGCAAUGGAUACUGGCGAGCUAGAGUGUGUCAGAGGAUGGUGGAAUUCCCGGUGUAGCGGUGAAAUGCGUAGAGAUCGGGAGGAACAUCAGUGGCGAAGGCGGCCAUCUGGGACAACACUGACGCUGAGGCACGAAAGCGUGGGGAGCAAACAGG
rnacentral:rRNA from 1 species